GGAGCGAGCGAUUUGAACGCGAGCGGCGCGGACUUCGGCCAAGCACCGGCUCCUGCGCUUCCUCCCAUCAACACAGUCGGCGGAGACAAGCUUGGCUAAAGGAGAUCCGAAAGCUUCAGAAGAGCACACACCUCUUGAUAAGGAAGCUCCCCUUCAGCCGCCUGGCAAGAGAAAUAUGUGUUAAAUUCACUCGUGGUGUGGACUUCAAUUGGCAAGCCCAGGCCCUAUUGGCCCUACAAGAGGCAGCAGAAGCAUUUCUAGUUCAUCUCUUUGAGGACGCCUAUCUCCUCACCUUACAUGCCGGCCGAGUUACUCUCUUCCCAAAGGAUGUGCAACUGGCCCGGAGGAUCCGGGGCCUUGAGGAGGGACUCGGCUGAGCUCCUGCGCCCAGUGUUUCUGUCAGUCUUUCCUGCUCAGCCAGGGGGGAUGAUACCGGGGACUCUCCAGAGCCAUGACUAGAUCCAACGGAUUCUGCGAUGCUGUCUCUGAACAGUAUGUGUGUGUUGCUUUAAACAUUUUUUUUUUUUUGAGAAGGAGAAGACUGCAUGACUUUCCUCUGUAACAGAGGUAAUAUAUGAGACAAUCAACACCAUUCCAAAGGCCUGAAAAUAAUUUUCAGAUAAAGAGACUCCAAGGUUGACUUUAGUUUGUGAGUUACUUAUGUGACUAUUUGA
rnacentral:sRNA from 1 species